GAGAGAAGCUCUGAGCUGCUCCUGCACCAUGCUGACUUAAGCCAAGGUAUGGCUUGGGAGUGAAAAAGACUGGGGAAGAGCAAAGCAGCUACAGAUUCUUCUCCAGGAAUCCACAAAUUUGUGCAGUUCCAGCAAGACACAGUUUGGGAAAUUGUAGUAUGUGAACCAGACUCGGUUUCCCUCACUAGGAUUUGAUUUGAUUAGUUACUAAUAAGGAAACUCUUGGGUGGUUUUUGUGAUUCAAACAUUUGACCUGAGAUAAGGAUACACUUUCAUGGCCUGCUCCAGGAGAGAUGAGCAAGGACAAAAUAUUAUGACAGCUUUUCAGUAACUGUUUGGGCUUGAAAAUAGAAUAUGGCAUUAUUGUCUCUAAUUAGACCUUUAGUGGCUAUGGCAGAACAGCUGAAAACUGUGCAAAAAUAGAACAUAAUUUUAUUGGAUUGCAUACACUGAGCUAUAGGUACAUGCCAAAUCAAAUAUUGGGAAGUAGUAUCGCCAUGUUGCUCCAUAAAGAAGAAAUCUAUGGCCCUCCAAAUGUUGUUGAAUCCCUUCUCUCAUCAGCCCCAACCAGCAUGGCAAAUGGCUAAGAACAAUGGGAGCUAUAGUCCAACAAAUCACAGUUUCCCACCCCUGCUGUAAAAUAUUUUAGAGUGAGACCCCUGUGGCAAUUUUGCGUUUCUGGAAAAUUUGAUAUUUCAAAACUGACUUGAUGGCUUAGGGAUCAGUAUGAUUUGUUUGUAGUGCAUGGCACUAUACAGUGGUGCCUCAGUUUAAGAACAGCUUAGUUUAUGAACAACUUGGAUUAAUAAUGCUGCAAACCCGGAAGUAGGUGUUUUGGUUUGUGAACUUUGCCUUAGAAUAAGAACAUGUUUUGCUUCCUGUUGAGUGUGUUCCAUUUGUAAAUUGAGCCCUCUGCUACUAUGGAAAAGCACGCCUUGGUUUAAGAACACUUUGGUUUAAGAACAGACUUCCGGAACAGUUUAAGUUUGUAAACCAAGGUACCACUGCAUAUGGAAUAAUGCCAAUUAGCAUGUUACAUAGAUUCAGGGAAGGCAGGUGCAUCAAUGAGCAUUGCUUCCAUUUCUAUAUUAAUAACUGAAGUGGGACUCUCCCCUCUAGUGAGAUCCAUGGGUUCCCAUUUCACACCACAUGUCUGAUGAAGCCUUAGAAACUAGAUCUCAGUUCCUGUAAUGUACAGUAUUCAAAAAAGGGGAAGAGAUUGAGGCUGUUUAUAUGUUACUAGUUUAAAACACUGUUAGGUUAUUCUUUUUCUCAGCUCAGAUCAAAGUUGGUCUUUGGGGAAAUGUAACAAAAUGAAGCAUUUCAUAAGAUGUGGCAGGGUAGAUAUAAGAUAGCUAUGGAUUGUGGCUAUGGUUGUGUGUACACUUCUUCCCAAACGAGCAGCUUUAGCACAUUGGAUGGAUAAUGCAUGUACAGCCUGGGAUUGAACAUCCCAGUUCCUCUAAUGAACUGCAUGACUUGGUCCCACUUAGUUUGAACUGGGCACUCUCGUUUUGAGCCAGGUUGAGCUCCAUUUUUUGAAUUACAGAUUGUUUGGAGAACUGAUAAUUAUUUUCUUUAAGUUGUAUGGAGUGAUCUGUACAGGUUUUAAAGGGGAAAAUACGUAGUUUUACAUGUGAACAUGUCUUUGUUUGACUUUGGAUGCAUGACUCAAACUUGAUAAUUCACAAGGCUAAACAUUGUCUGGAUACAUAUAUCAAGAGUCUGUUUAUUUACCAAACUAAUUUAGAUUUGUUUAUGGUGUCCUCUGUGUUUAUGGCUCUCCCUGAACCUUCUUCUGACCAAAAAUCAUGUGGCUUUUACAUAUCUAAAGUUUAAAAAACACAAUAAUUAAAUGUUUAUUGAGCAGCUAACUGCUAAUUAAUUAUGUUUGUGAAUUUAUCGCUGAUGCCUGUAUUUGCUAUAAAUGUUUCUGUUCCAAAUUCCCUUCCUUUGCUAUUACUGCUAUUCAUAAAUGUACUGACAUUGCCUUGAGAUUGAAAUUUGUUAUGUUGCUGAUGUUUCUUCCAGUCCAAGACAUGAUUUUUCCGAAUCAGGACACUUUAGAGAGAGAAUUUGUUGACAUAAAAACAUUCACUGCUAAUGUCAACUUACUGUGAAAACAAUGACAGAUGAGUCACUGCAAACAGCCAUGAACACUCUAUAAAUGUUGAUUUAGAAUUGUACCAUGCCACACAUCUUAUGCAUGCCCCUGAUUACCAUGUUUAUUAACUUGGAUUGCAUAUGUGCCUCAGGUCUCCCGGUGGAAGGAGAACCUCAUACGCUAUUGAAAAGCCAGUCCCUAUUCUAAAACAGUUGUGGCCUUUAAAAAAAGAGUCGGUGAAAGUGUUGAUGGAGCUGACUCAGAAAGAUUCCUAAACAUGAUCUUAAAAUGUAAGAUAAAAUCCAAUAACAACUUUUUAAAUGCACUUUUUCUAAUUGACAACUAGAACUGUGCAUAUGCCCAUUGGUUUCAUACAGAGUCUCUACUGGAACUGUUGAAGUUUGUGUUGAGCAUUCUUCGUUGUUGUUGUUGUUGCUGCUGCAAUGUGUGUGUGUAUGCGUUUAUUCUCUUUCCUCUUAGGACCUUCCACAAACUGUAAUGCAGACGUGGUGUUACUGUUGCUACUUAAAUUCUCAUGGAAGAAGAAACCAGUUUGAAAUAUCUUUGGGAUGGUUUGCAUGUUUGGCCAGAGAGAUAGGAUGUACUAAGGCCUGUACUAUUUGUCUGCUGUUGCACACCUGAAGUAGCAUUUUUAAUCAAGGUAUACACAUAAACAACAUACCCAAAUUCCACCAUCUUUCCUUCUUGAUGGCCAUCACUUUAUGAGGAGGUGGAAUCAGGAAGUAGGCUACAUCACAUGCAUAUCAUGAAUGUGGCCAAUCCAUCCUCCUCAGUGCACAGACAGAGGUGGUUUUACGGUAGUGCAAGCAGUUCGGCCACGUUGAGUGCACAGGGGGCACUGCAACAAUGAUGUAGAACAGAGCCCGAGAGGGGGUGUGUGAAUUUUAGCAUCGCAAAGGACGCCACUGAAAUUUGAGAGAUCCAAGUCUGCCGCUACGCAUAGAUAAGGUCUUAAUGCAAUGUUACAGUUAACUCAGGGAUCAUCAACACAACCCCCUCCAGAUGUUAUUGGACUCCAGCUCCCAUCAGGGCCGUCUUUACCCAGGGGUGCAAGGGGUGCAGAAUUCUGGGGGUUGCCAGGCACCUGCCGCUGAAGCCGCCUAAGCUCUUAACUAUCCGUGAUCACUGGGUCAUUUCCGUUCUCUUUUGCGGAAGAGCUGCAGAAUAAAUGUAUCUGGCAGCGCCCCUAGUGGUGUCUUUCAUUUUUGCAUGAUUGCAAAAACGGAAGACGGAGUUUUCGCUGCUGCUUUUUAUUUUUUCAUGUUAGCGGUUUUUGCUGCUCCCUCUCCUUAAAAGCUCAACAACUUAAACUUGUGCCCCUAAAGAAAGCUCAACAACUUUGAUCUGCCCCCCCAGGGGGGUGCUGGGCGGAUCUUUGCAACCCGGUGGUGAAUAUGCUACAGACAGCCCUGGCUCCCAUCACCUCAAGAUCUGGAGGACCCAUUGAUUAUCUCUGCAUUACCGUAUUUUUCGCCCUAUAGGACGCACUUUUUCCCCUCCAACAAUGAAGGGGAAAUCCGUGUGCAUCCUAUGGGGCGAAUGCAGGCUUUCGCUGAAGCUUGGAUAGCGAGAGGGGUCGGUGCGCACUGACCCCUCUCACUCUCCAGGCUUCAGGAAGCUAUCAGCAAGCCUGGGGAGCCCUGCUGGAGUUCCCGCAGGGCUCCCUAGGCUGCGGAUAGCAGCCUGCUGCCUGGAGCGCGGGGCGAGCUGAAGCUGCGGCUGGGGGAAUAAUUUUUUUUUUUAUUUCCCCCCCCAAAAACUAGGUGCGUCCUAUGGGCCAGUGCAUCCUAUAGGGCAAAAAAUACAGUAAUUCACUUUUUGUGAUUCUCUCUUUUUUUAAAAAAGAUAUUUAUUAUGAGUUUACAAGUUACAGAAAAAGAAAGAGAACAAUAAAGAAUUAAACAAAACAAAACAAUACCUUACAAUACAU